rnacentral:rRNA from 1 species
CAGUCGAACGCGACUUAUCUAGUUAGCGAUAACUAGGUAAGUUGAGUGGCGAAAGGGUGCGUAACACGUGGGAAUUUACCAAGAAGUGGGGAAUAGCUCGACGAAAGUCGAAUUAAUACCGCAUAUGAUCGCAAGAUCAAAGCCGGGGACCGCAAGGCCUGGCGCUUUUUGAGAAGCCCGCGGCCCAUCAGCUAGUUGGCGGGGUAACGGCCCACCAAGGCUAUGACGGGUAGCUGGUCUGAGAGGACGACCAGCCACACUGGAACUGAAACACGGUCCAAACCCCUACGGGUGGCAGCAGUCGAAAAUUUUUCACAAUGGACGAAAGUCUGAUGGAGCGACCCCCCGUGGAGGAUGAAGGUUUUCGGAUUGUAAACUCCUGUCACUGCAAAACAAGGGUGCAUUUAUGAAUAUUAAGUGCAUUUGAUGGUAUGCGGAGAGGAAGGGACGGCUAACUCUGUGCCAGCAGCCGCGGUAAGACAGAGGUCCCGAGCGUUGUUCGGAUUCAUUGGGCGUAAAGGGUGUGUAGGAGGUCGGGUAAGUCAGGUGUGAAAUCUCAGAGCUUAACUCUGAAACUGCGCUUGAUACUGCUCGGCUAGAGGAUCGGAGGGGGUAACGGAAUUUAUGGUGUAGCAGUGAAAUGCGUAGAUAUCAUAAGGAACACCGGUGGCGAAGGCGGUUACCUGGAAAGAUUCCUGACUCUGAGACACGAAAGCCAGGGGAGCAAACGGGAUUAGAUACCCCGGUAGUCCUGGCCGUAAACGGUGUGCAUUGGGCGUAUGCGGAUUCGACCCCGUAUGUGUCGUAGAUAACUCAUUAAAUG